rnacentral:rRNA from 1 species
UACGUAGGGUGCAAGCAUUAUCCGGAGUGACUGGGCGUAAAGAGUUGCGUAGGUGGUUUGUUAAGUAGAUAGUGAAAUCUGGGGGGCUCAACCUCACAGGCUAUUAUCUAAACUGGCAAACUCGAGAAUGGUAGAGGUAACUGGAAUUUCUUGUGUAGGAGUGAAAUCCGUAGAUAUAAGAAGGAACACCAAUGGCGUAGGCAGGUUACUGGACCAUUUCUGACACUGAGGCACGAAAGCGUGGGGAGCGAACGGG